rnacentral:rRNA from 1 species
AGUGAACGCUGGCGGUAGGCCUAACACAUGCAAGUCGAACGGCAGCACGGGAGAGCUUGCUCUCUGGGUGGCGAGUGGCGGACGGGUGAGGAAUACAUCGGAAUCUACUCUGUCGUGGGGGAUAACGUAGGGAAACUUACGCUAAUACCGCAUACGACCUACGGGUGAAAGCAGGGGAUCUUCGGACCUUGCGCGAUUGAAUGAGCCGAUGUCGGAUUAGCUAGUUGGCGGGGUAAAGGCCCACCAAUGCGACGAUCCGUAGCUGGUCUGAGAGGAUGAUCAGCCACACUGGAACUGAGACACGGUCCAGACUCCUACGGGAGGCAGCAGUGGGGAAUAUUGGACAAUGGGCGCAAGCCUGAUCCAGCCAUACCGCGUGGGUGAAGAAGGCCUUCGGGUUGUAAAGCCCUUUUGUUGGGAAAGAAAUCCAGCUGGCUAAUACCCGGUUGGGAUGACGGUACCCAAAGAAUAAGCACCGGCUAACUUCGUGCCAGCCGCCGCGGUAA